CUGGUAGCCUGGCAGGGGAGAUACUAUGAUCAUGAAGGUGGUUUUCCCAUGGUGAGGCUCAUCCAUUGCACUGUGGGUGUGCUGACCCCUGCGAUUUCCCCAAAUGCGGGAAACUCGACUGCAUAAUUUGUGGUCGUGGGGGACUGCGUUCAUGCUCUCCCCUA